rnacentral:lncRNA from 1 species
AAGCAAUGAGACUCAGUACUUCCGUUGUAGUUGUAGAUAAGUUUCUCUCCUAGCUUCUGCAAGCGCUCAUGUGGCGGCGCAGUCAUCGCUUGCCUAUUGCCUUCCUAAGCAAAUGGCAAACCCAACUUAUCACUUAACCCACCCAACGUUCGUCGAAUUUAUACAAUCUCAAGAGUCUCCCACAAACCUUUAUAUUUCUCUUUAAACCGCACCAUUACUCUUCAUCUUCAACCUCCAGAUUUCAUACCCCCAAAGGAAAAGACAACAAAGCCCUCUCCUCUCUCUCUCUCUCUCUCUCUCUCUCUCUCUCUCUCUCUCUCUCUCUGCGUCUCUGUUGUUUCUCUCCGGCUGAGUUCUCCUCCAUGGCCCGCCUGUGGGGACAGAGCUAUCACCACGUGGGAACCGACCCGUCAAUCAGCAGAAGCACCUCAGUGGCUAGGAGUACUAGCAGUGGGUCCUUCUACAACAGCUACAUGGAGCAGGGAAGCAGCAACUACACGUUGAUGGAGAAGAGGCAGCUUUUUCUCAGAAGCUACCAGUUCAGCAGGAAGAAGAGCCUGACGGAGAAGAUAAAAGGGUCUUUUUGCAAAGUCAAGAGGGCGAUAUGCCUGCGGCUGAGGUCGGCGAGGAAGCUCCGGAAACUGGUUUCUUUCAAGCUCAGGUAUGGCGUUUCUUUCCGGAGAAGAAGACUCUGCCGUCUGCUGAAUAAUUACCGUCGUACCCGCAAAUGCGAUAAGUCCUAUUGCUUCUGGUAGGGAGUACUCGAAACUCGUGUCAAUGUCUAAUUCUUCUCUCUCCCUCUGUUUUCGGGUUUCUUGUACUCAUUUUUUAUCCAUCUGCACUCGUUCUGCACCGACUGGGUCGGAAUGAGCGCAUGAGGCUAAAAGAGGAGUGCUAAAAUUACUUAUGUCUUACAAUUUCUUUUGUUUGUAUGUAAUUUCAAAGAAAAAAAGUGGUGCUUGAACUUGAAAAGCAUUAGAAUUUGUGGUAUUAGAUUCGCACCCCACAAUUGAUCUUGCUUCCAAGAGUCUGAAAAAAAAAAAAGAGUUAUAUACAUGAUGAAUUCCUGUUCGAUUUAUUUUGUGAUACUAGUUGUUAAUUUUAGUUAGGGUUUUUGCUCUCUACUCUAAGAGUUUUUUUUUGGGGGGGGGGGAGAGAUUUAGGAAAAUGGUGUGUUUUAGUAUUUUUAGGUGAUUUAUAUUUGUCUUAAAACUUGUCCAUAGUGUGGUUAAACUGUAUUUUUUAUGUCGUUGAAAUUGUUG